AUUGAACGCUGGCGGCAGGCCUAACACAUGCAAGUCGAACGAGUGGCGGACGGGUGAGUAAUGUCUGGGAAACUGCCUGAUGGAGGGGGAUAACUACUGGAAACGGUAGCUAAUACCGCAUACCAUCAGAUGUGCCCAGAUGGGCUUAGGUGGUUGGUGGGGUAACGGUUCACCAAGGCGACGAUCCCUAGCUGGUCUGAGAGGAUGACCCGCCACACUGGAACUGAGACACGGUCCAGACUCCUACGGGAGGCAGCAGUGGGGAAUAUUGCGCAAUGGGCGCAAGCCGGAUGAAGCCAGGCCGCGUGUAUGAAGAAGGCCUUCGGGUUGUAAAGUACUUUCAGCGGGGAGGCGUUACCCACAGAAGAAGCACCGGCUAACUCCGUGCCAGCCGCCGCGGUAAUAC
rnacentral:rRNA from 1 species